rnacentral:rRNA from 1 species
CGCUGGCGGCAUGCUUUACACAUGCAAGUCGAACGGCAGCGCGGGCUUCGGCCUGGCGGCGAGUGGCGAACGGGUGAGUAAUACAUCGGAACGUGCCCAGUAGUGGGGGAUAGCUCGGCGAAAGCCGGAUUAAUACCGCAUACGACCUGAGGGUGAAAGCGGGGGAUCUUCGGACCUCGCGCUAUUGGAGCGGCCGAUGGCAGAUUAGCUAGUUGGUGGGGUAAAGGCCUACCAAGGCGACGAUCUGUAGCUGGUCUGAGAGGACGACCAGCCACACUGGGACUGAGACACGGCCCAGACUCCUACGGGAGGCAGCAGUGGGGAAUUUUGGACAAUGGGCGAAAGCCUGAUCCAGCAAUGCCGCGUGUGUGAUGAAGGCCUUCGGGUUGUAAAGCACUUUUGGCGGGAACGAAAAGGACUGUGCCAAUACCACGGUUCGAUGACGGUACCCGCAGAAUAAGCACCGGCUAACUACGUG